CUUAACCGAGGAAUCGCUUAGCAAACUACUGUUCUUGAGGCGAGUAGGGGUGCAUGGAACUCUUGGUGGAGCGGUGGAAUGCGUAGAUAUCAAGAGGAACGCCAAUGGUGAAGACAGUGCACUGGGCUUGUCCUGACGCUGAGGUGCGAAAGUGUGGGGAGCGAACGGGAUUAGAUACCCCGGUAGUCCACACCGUAAACGAUGUCUACUAGGUUGUGGUUGUUUCUGACGCAGGCACAGCCGAAGCAAAAGUGUUAAGUAGACCGCCUGGGGAGUACGGCCGCAAGGCUAAAACUCAAAGGAAUUGACGGGGGCUCACACAAGCGGUGGAGCAUGUGGAUUAAUUCGAAGCAACGCGCAGAACCUUACCUGGGUUUGACAUGCUUGGAUGCUUGCCUGGAAACAGGUUAAGCUGCCCUUCGGGGUGAAACU
rnacentral:rRNA from 1 species